CUUGACUUAUAAUAAGAGGUCCAGCCUGCCCAGUGAAUUUUUAACGGCCGCGGUAUCCUAACCGCGCGAAGGUAGCAUAAUCACUUGUUCUUUAAAUGGGGACUCGUAUCAACGGCAUCACGAGGGUUUUACUGUCUCCUCUUUUUGAUCAGUGAAAUUGAUCUUCCCGUGAAGAAGCGGGAAUAAUCCUAUAAGACGAGAAGACCCCAUGGAGCUUAAAACCAAAUAACAACUUAACCACUUACCCCACUAGAAAUUUAAGCCCUGUUAUAAGGUUUUUGGUUGGGGUGACCGCGGAGUAAAGAACAUCCUCCACGACGGAAAGAACACACUCUUUAUUUAAGAACCACAAUUCUAGAAAUUAGUAUACUAACGUUUACUGACCCGAUAAUCGAUCAACGGACCAAGUUACCCUGGGGAUAACAGCGCAAUCUACUUCAAGAGCUCAUAUCGACAAGUAGGCUUACGACCUCGAUGUUGGAUCAGGGUAUCCCGGUGGUGCAGCCGCUACCGAAGGUUCGUUUGUUCAACGAUUAAAACCCU
rnacentral:rRNA from 1 species